rnacentral:rRNA from 1 species
GGGGGGGGUUUUUUUUUUGCUGGCCUUUAUUGAAGGUCAGCUCCCCUGAAAUAUAUUAGCGGAACAAUCUGUUGACUGUUCAUUAGUAUGAUAAAUUAUCUGUGCUAUUGAACUGCAAGGACAAGCUCUGCUUCUAAGAGUCCAUUGACUUGGACAAUAUUUGUUUCAUUCAAUGUGACCUCAAAUCAGGUAGGACUACCCGCUGAACUUAAGCAUAUCAAUAAGCGGAGGAAAAGAAACUAACAAGGAUUCCCCUAGUAACUGCGAGUGAAGUGGGAAAAGCUCAAAUUUAAAAUCUGUCAGUCUUUGACUGUCCGAGUUGUAAUCUAGAGAAGUGUUAUCUGUGCUGGACCAUGUAUAAGUCUCCUGGAAUGGAGCCUCAUAGAGGGUGAGAAUCCCGUCUUUGACAUGGACUACCAGGACUUUGUGAUACACUCUCAAAGAGUCGAGUUGUUUGGGAAUGCAGCUCAAAAUGGGUGGUAAAUUCCAUCUAAAGCUAAAUAUUGGCGAGAGACCGAUAGUGAACAAGUACCGUGAGGGAAAGAUGAAAAGAACUUUGGAAAGAGAGUUAAACAGUACGUGAAAUUGCUGAAAGGGAAACGCUUGAAGUCAGUCACAUUGGCCAGGGAUCAACCUUGCUUUUGCUUGGUGUACUUUCUGGUUGAUGGGUCAGUAUCAAUUUUGACUAUUGGAAAAGGAUCAGGGGAAUGUGGCAUCUU